rnacentral:rRNA from 1 species
GACGAACGCUGGCGGCGUGCUUAACACAUGCCAGUCGAACGGAAAGGCCCUGCUUUUGUGGGGUGCUCGAGUGGCGAACGGGUGAGUAACACGUGAGUAACCUGCCCUUGACUUUGGGAUAACUUCAGGAAACUGGGGCUAAUACCGGAUAGGAGCUCCUGCUGCAUGGUGGGGGUUGGAAAGUUUCGGCGGUUGGGGAUGGACUCGCGGCAUAUCAGCUUGUUGGUGGGGUAGUGGCUUACCAAGGCUUUGACGGGUAGCCGGCCUGGGAGGGUGACCGGCCACAUUGGGACUGGGAUACGGCCCAGACUCCUACGGGAGGCAGCAGUGGGGAAUAUUGCGCAAUGGGCGGAAGCCUGAUGCAGCAACGCCGCGUGCGGGAUGACGGCCUUCGGGGUGUAAACCGCUUUCGCCUGUAACGAAGCGUGAGUGACGGUAAUGGGUAAAGAAGCACCGGCUAACUACGUG